AGCCAGACUCCUACGGGAGGCAGCAGUGGGGAAUAUUGCACAAUGGGGGAAACCCUGAUGCAGCGACGCCGCGUGAGCGAUGAAGUAUUUCGGUAUGUAAAGCUCUAUCAGCAGGGAAGAAGAUGACGGUACCUGACUAAGAAGCCCCGGCUAACUACGUGCCAGCAGCCGCGGUAAUACGUAGGGGGCAAGCGUUAUCCGGAUUUACUGGGUGUAAAGGGAGCGUAGACGGCGGUGCAAGCCAGAUGUGAAAGCCCGGGGCUCAACCCCGGGACUGCAUUUGGAACUGUAUGGCUGGAGUGUCGGAGAGGCAGGCGGAAUUCCUAGUGUAGCGGUGAAAUGCGUAGAUAUUAGGAGGAACACCAGCGGCGAAGGCGGCCUGCUGGACGAUGACUGACGUUGAGGCUCGAAAGCGUGGGGAGCAAACAGGAUUAGAUACCCUAGUA
rnacentral:rRNA from 1 species